UACGAAGGGGGCUAGCGUUGCUCGGAAUCACUGGGCGUAAAGCGCACGUAGGCGGCUUACUAAGUCAGGGGUGAAAUCCUGGAGCUCAACUCCAGAACUGCUUUUGAUACUGGUGAGCUUGAGUCCGGAAGAGGUGAGUGGAACUGCGAGUGUAGAGGUGAAAUUCGUAGAUAUUCGCAAGAACACCAGUGGCGAAGGCGGCUCACUGGUCCGGUACUGACGCUGAGGUGCGAAAGCGUGGGGAGCAAACAGG
rnacentral:rRNA from 1 species